rnacentral:rRNA from 1 species
AGCGAACGUUAGCGGCGCGCCUAACACAUGCAAGUCGCACGAGAAAGGGAGCAAUCCCCGGUACAGUGGCGCACGGGUGUGUAACACGUAGAUGACCUUCCCUGGAGUGGUGGAUAACCUGCCGAAAGGCGGGCUAAUACAGCAUGGGACCACAUGGUUUUGACCGAGUGGUGAAAGCGGGCCUCUGUUCACAAGCUCGCGCUCUGGGAUGGGUCUGCGUCCCAUCAGCUAGUUGGUGAGGUAAUGGCUCACCAAGGCAUCGACGGGUAGCUGGUCUGAGAGGAUGACCAGCCACACUGGAACUGAGACACGGUCCAGACUCCUACGGGAGGCAGCAGUGGGGAAUCUUNCGCAAUGGGCGAAAGCCUGA